CCCGAGUGCUUUCCUGAGUGGCUCCACGUGGCCUCCUGUUUCUAGGGAUGGGGGCAGGAAGAGUGUUCUUUGAUGUUCCCUGAAGAGGAAAUGGCAUGUGCAACGGAAAAUCCCAGGAGAAAUGGGAGAGUGAUUGGAUAUUAGGAGAGAAAAGACAAAAACACUAGAGGGUCAACCUACGAGGAGACAUCCAUUGAAAAUGAGUUUCAGAAGAGGGCCAUAUGACUAGUGCUGCCCAAUGGACUGUGAACAGAAAUGACAGCAUCACUCGCAUGGAGACUCCUCCAUCUCUGUCUUCCCUGUUGUGACAGUCUCAGAGCCUACGUUCUUUCAAUGGCUGGGCUACAAGAUGGUGACAGGCUGCCCAACCUGGUUUGCAACGCCACCUCAGUAAGCUGAGACAUGGUAAUCGCCAUGGCAACGGGGCUGCAUUAAAAGCAUUGUGCGCACAAAGUGAAAGGCUGCUGCCUGGCAGAGUUCAGUCUGGUCUCACUGCACCUGUUCCCUAAUUAAGAUGCACCUUUUGGUUUUGUCUUUUGAAAAAAACAAAAUGCUCCCUUUAUCGCCACGAGGCAAAAGAAAAAUUAAGGCCAAGAUCCUUUCAUGCCCAAUAUGGGCCUGCCCGGUGGUUGGAGCAUGGGGGAUCAUGGGCAGCAAGUGAGAAAGUGCACAGUGAUUUGCUGCUGUUACAUCCUGAGAAACUGGAGGGCUGUCAUCAAAGUCCUCGAAUAGCUGGAGAGUGGGUGUGGGAUGGUUACGUUUGAAAAUGCAGCUCUGAUAUAAAAGAAAGCAAAGACUGCACUGUUUUCCCAGCAAGAGCCUAGCUGGAGACUCUAAGCCUAAGAUAGAAGCUUCUGCCAUCAACAGGCCACAAAACCCAUACUUCCUGCUCUAUGAGGCUUCUGACCUUGGUUCCCUAGAAUCCUCCCUCCUUAUCAAGUAUCUGUGUCUAGGCCUAGGGGAGACCAGACCGAGGUCUGUCCUUGUCUGCCUACAAGGACAAGGCAUUCUACUGCUGUAGACCACUUGUUUAUGUGCCCCUAAAAUUUGUAUGUUAAAGCCUGAAUCCCCAUUGUGAUGACAUUUGGAGGUGGGGCCAUCGAAAGGUGAUUAGGUUUAUAUGAGUUCAUGAGGGUGGGGCCCUCAUAAUGGUAUUAAUGUCCUUAUAAGAAGAGACACAACAGAGCUUGCUUCCUCUCUCUCUCCCCACCAUGUGAAGACACAGCAAGAAGGCGGCCAUCUGCAAACCAGAAAGAGAGCCCUCACCAGGAACCGGAUCUGCUGGCACCUUGAUCUUGGACUUCCUAUCCUUUAGAGCUGUGAGAAAUGUCGCCCCCAGGUCAAUGGGAUAUUUGUUACAGCACCAGGUACUGCCUGAGAACUCUACCUUUAGGGAGCCUGCGUGCUGGGUCACUGGGGAGACAAUGAAGGUGCUUGACACCCAGUUUGAAUAUUGUGUCACUGCAAAGCUGACUGCUGUUGAAGGAUAGCCAGUGAGAGGUCAUGGCAAGCCAUCAGAAGAAGCAGAAGUCAUGAGCAUGCUGAAGCUAUGAGGCCAAGACAAAAUGUCACAUUGCCACAAGAAGAGGGACAAACAGGCAACAGGCAGAGCCCAUGGGAAUCAGUAAUCUCCUGCUGACACUGAGGCCUUGGGACUAACUCAGAUCCAGUACUACUCUCUUGGGACCUGUUCUGACUCCAGCUCCUGUCCUUGGGGUCCACUGAGAUCCCUGUAGCCUUGUAAUAAGCCCACAUUAUCAUAUUUCCCCUGCCGGCUCCACCCUAGAGCAUUUCCAACAAUUUCCAGUGCUUUUCCCCUUCUCAUACCACUGGGCCUUUGCACGUGCUCGUGCCUCCCCAACUUGCCCUGCCUUCUCCUUCACCCAGACAACUCCUACUAAAUCUCUCAGACUCCUCAGCUGUGUCCCUUCCUAGGGGAGGACUCUCUUCCCUCCAGUGAGCCCGGUGGUCCUCCCUGGGAUCCCCUGCUCCUUGUCUUCCCUGCCGUCCUUACUGCCAUCCUUGUUCUCUACUCAGAAGGAGGCAGAGGCUGGCCUGCCCCCAAUCCCCUGUAGACUGACCAGAUGAAUUGACCUGGGCUGGGCAGGGCAGGCGUGUUUGACCAGUUGUCUGGGCACCCCAUGGCUCAGUCAAGUUGACACAUAAAGUUCACCGCCCCAGGGCCCCUUCGUUGUAUUUGUGUAUGAAUAAAACACAGCAUCCACUCCAGGUAUCUGAGGGUCCUGGAGGCAGGUUUUGUGAUCCCUUUUUACAGAUGAGGAUGCGGAGGUCCAGUUGUCACUCACCCAGAUCACACUCUCAUCUGCUGAUGGGAGGAGUAUUUGAUGGGAUGUGUGAGCCCGGCCGUCUCCCUUGGGACACAUCAGCUCAUUAAAUUUGCCAGCCCCUGCCUGAAAAAGUAUUUAAUUUGCCUUUUACAAUGCACCCAUUGCAAGUUAAUUAACUGGCAAUUGAAAGUUAUAGGUGGCAUUAGAAUUUAUUAAUAACAUUGGGAAUAAAUCUCCCUGGAAUUCAAUUAACUGAAAGAACCGCUUUCUCGGGGGCAGAGCAGAGCAUGGCUUCCCAAAUCCCACAGACCUGAUCUGGAACUCAGCUUCACCGCCAACCGCCUGUGUGACCUUGAGGAAGCUAUGUAACCUCUCUGGGGCUCAGCUGACUCACCCCAAAAUGAGAGAGGUGGCUGUGACGUUAAAGGAGGUGACAUGUUUCACUGUUUAGCACUGGAUCUGUCCUCACCAUAUUAAGGACCAACUCACACCCAGCCCCUUGGGGGAGACCUUCUCCCUCAGCUCUGUCUCAGACCUUCUCUGGGACCCACAGUAUCUGCUACCCUG
rnacentral:lncRNA from 10 species